ensembl:lncRNA
AUCUACUCCAUUUCCGUUUGGGAGAUGAAAACAUUAGUCCGAUUGUCGGCAUGUACAGUGCUGAGGAUUAUGUAACAGCGUACUCAUUCAGUCGCCAUGAAAUACCAAUAGAUAUGAGUAUACGUUUCCAGCAGUAUAGCGACGACCCUGAUGCCUUUAGGAUAAACCGCCAACACUAAGCCAUUUAAGCCGUUUAUAAUAUAAGGAUGCGCUGCAAUUAACCGCCGGAGAACCGCAUAGACGGUCGGGAGGAGGCGGGCCUGUUACACACUAUCUGAUACACAAUAUCUGUGUGUCAAGUCGACUGCUAUUCAGAGUAGAGGUGAUCGUAUGUUACGAGAGGGGUGGUCCACAUUGCUGAUAACGUUGUGUGUACUCUUAUAAUACAUCCAUGGCUGUACUCUAUUGAGUAUUCAUUACGCAGAGGAAUAAAAUCACGAGUGAACUCUUCAAAUACUGCGAAACAUGGCAUCUCUCAAACAUCGCCUUUCAAUGCCCGUGGUAGCGGGCGUGCUGCUGGUCGGUGUACCCUAUUCAAUCUCCUUAGCGGCCCAGUGGCUGUACGGUUGGCCAAAUAAGCCCGGCUGUAGAAAAUACAUAGAGGCUCUGAGACCCAGGCGAAUCUACUGCCUGACCAGAGCUGUGCUCGAAACACUAAAAUACCUACAGUACGGAAAACUGUACUUCCAGUGGAAGUUAUGGUACAAGAACGAUGAGAACCGGAAACAUUAUGAGAAGGGCAUCACCUUCGGGCGCCGAAGCAACAAGAUGGACCUGUACUACAGCCCCCAAGGGGCCAGGGUGGCCGGGGACAAGCCGGUUCCCCUGGUGGUGUUCAUCUACGGCGGGGCUUGGGGAUCUGGGGACCGGUCCAUCUACUGUCUGCUGGCCAGGCGGAUGGCUGAGGAGCUGGGUGCCACUGUGGCGUGCCCCGACUACGUCACCUACCCAAAGGGGAAUGUUUUGUGCAUGGUCCAAGAUAUCACGGACUGUCUAGUUUGGGCACGAGAGAACGACAAAAAGUACAACUUUGACAAGGACAACAUAGUGUUGGUGGGGCACUCUGCGGGCGCUCAUCUGUCGGCCCUGGCCAUCCUGUUCCUCAUCGACUGCAGAGACGAGCUCUUCGUCGAAGCAGGCAUGCAGCGGAACAUCGCCAAGGCGAUCAAAGGACUCAUUGGUCUGAGCGGCGUAUACAACAUCGUGGAUCACUAUGAGCAUGAGCAAAUGCGAGCGGUGGAAUACGUGUCCACCAUGCAUAAAGCUAUGAAUGGAGUCCACAACUUCCCUUACUACUCGCCAGAGCACAUCCUCAACACAUUCAGCCAAGACAAGCUGGAGAGGUGGGACUCGCACAGACUUUGAUCCUGUUCCUGAAUUUGGUGUUGUGUAAUUGUUUUAGUUGUUGACAGUCCAAGUGCACAAUCCACUCCUUAUUUACUAGAUUUGUUUCUCGUCACUCGGCCGGUGUGAAGUGAAAUGGAAUGAAAUGGUUGACGACAGGAGAAUACUAAAAAAACUGCAUUUCCUUCAUGACUCGUUGACUUACUGAUGUGUAAGCAUCAGACAUUCACACAUCACACAUCACAUUUAAGACAUGCAUUUCCUAAUGUCAACCAUUACAACGGUCCAAAACUGUGAUAACCUGCCUUUACCUCGCACCUUAAAUAAAAAAAAAUGUCUCUUAACUCUGACAGAAUUCCGCCAAUCAGCCUCAUCCACGGAACCAAUGACAUCAUCGUUCCUGCCGAAUCGUCCAUCAAGUUCUCCCAGCUCCUGACGUCUCUCUGUGUGAAGACAGCCCUCUACAUACUGCCAAAUAUCGACCACACCGAGAUCGUCACCGACCUCAUGGUGCCUGACCGGCACUUUUACCACGCUGUCUACAGCUGCAUCAAGCAGGAGUACAACAAACUCAUUGGUGUCUGCUGAGGGCCUCCAACUAGGUUCUGAAGGCCGUCACCCGGUCAUCUUUGUGCUCUUUGCCUCAUUUGUAUCCUCGCCUACUACAUACCUCAUUUAUGUUAACGACGUCAUAACGAUUCCAGAGUGGCUUUUCCACUGCAACACACCAUACUUUGUUGGGUCAUAUUGUGUCUGAAUUGUAUUUAAUGCUAUGUAUUCUUAUGACAUUUUGUGUCAUAUUAUGACAUUUAUGAGGUGAUUAUCUUGUAAGAAUUUCAUGACGGAUGUUUUUAAUACGAGCCUUACUGAGUUAAUGGAAUAAUGAAUUGUGUAAAGAUAGUCGUUUUAAUAUAUCAAAAGCCACUGGUAUUAAUGCAGGUUGUAUUGACAUUGAUAUUUAAUAUUAUUAACCUCACUGGAUUUGUCAUGUGAUAACUUUAAGCACAUAACUCUUGCCUUAUGCUGGUCCAUAUAUUGAAUGAAAUGGAUUUUGUGUUGUCGGAAUGUCUCCGUCCAUGUCACCUAUUAAGUUAUUUUGGAAAUUAAAUGUUUGAAGGUACAAUAUGUGUCAAAU